GACGGAGGGUGCUAGCGUUGUUCGGAAUCACUGGGCGUAAAGGGCGCGUAGGCGGCCUCAGGUGUCGGAUGUGAAAGCCCGGGGCUCAACCCCGGAGGUGCAUCCGAAACUCUGGGGCUGGAGGUCGGAAGAGGAGGGUGGAAUACCCAGUGUAGAGGUGAAAUUCGUAGAUAUUGGGUGGAACACCGGUGGCGAAAGCGGCUCUCUGGUCCGGACCUGACGCUGGGGCGCGAAAGCGUGGGGAGCAAACAGG
rnacentral:rRNA from 1 species